AUGAGAUCAACCAAAUGAGAAAGGGUUGGAUCCGACGCCUCUAGAAGGCUACUAUAGGCUCUCCUUCUCAACUCCUACUCAAUACGUCCACGUCGUGCAGAACGGUAACUUGU
rnacentral:ribozyme from 1 species